UUUAGGUUGUAUACGCGCGCCAUCUAACUGUACAUAUAAACGAAAAGUAACGGUUUGAAGGGCGCGUUACUGAUAAACAAAGUUGAAGGAAAAAAAGUUUAAAAACCGAUUGAAAGAAGCUUACAAGCAUUGCAUUUGAUUCUUGCGCGCGAAGGAAUAAUUCGAAAGAAAAAAAAUAAUCAGAAACACAAUAAACAAAAAUAAUGUGUGGCGAGACGUGAACGACAAUAAGCAAUCAACAAUAAUAACCUUGCAGUGGUUUCCAAUUAUUUCGCUAUUUGCUAGGCACAAAACAGCACCGCACCCGAGGCAUUGAAAAACAACCAAAGUUGACGCUAUAAAAAAUGCACAACCAUAAAUUUAACGAAAAACAAAAGCGGUGUGUGAAAUAAAAAAAAAAAAAAAAAAAAA